rnacentral:rRNA from 1 species
CCCAGACUCCUACGGGAGGCAGCAGUGGGGAAUAUUGCACAAUGGGGGGAACCCUGAUGCAGCGACGCCGCGUGAGUGAAGACGGCCUUUGGGUUGUAAAGCUCUGUCAAUCGGGACGAAGAAGAUGACGGUACCCAAAGAGGAAGCUCCGGCUAACUACGUGCCAGCAGCCGCGGUAAUACGUAGGGAGCGAGCGUUGUCCGGAAUUACUGGGUGUAAAGGGAGCGUAGGCGGGGAUGCAAGUUGGAUGUUUAAACUAUCGGCUCAACCGGUAAUUGCAACCAAAACUGCAACUCUUGAGUGAAGUAGAGGCAGGCGGAAUUCCUAGUGUAGCGGUGAAAUGCGUAGAUAUUAGGAGGAACACCAGUGGCGAAGGCGGCCUGCUGGGCUUUAACUGACGCUGAGGCUCGAAAGCGUGGGGAGCAAACAGGAUUAGAUACCCCCGUA